rnacentral:rRNA from 1 species
AACGAACGCUGGCGGCAUGCCUAACACAUGCAAGUCGAACGAGACCUUCGGUGCUAGUGGCUCACGGGUGCGUAACGCGUGGGAACCUUCCCUUAGGUUCGGAAUAACUCCCCGAAAGGGGUGCUAAUCCCGGAUACUGUCUUCGGACCAAAGAUUUAUCGCCUUUGUAUGGGCCCGCGUUGGAUUAGCUAGUUGGUAGGGUAAAAGCCUACCAAGGCGACGAUCCAUAACUGGUCUGAGAGGUGGAUCAGCAAAACUGGACUGAGACACGGCCCAGACUCAUACGGGAGGCAGCAGUGGGGAAGAUUGGACAAUGGGCGAAAGCCUGAUCCAGAAAUGCCGCGUGAGUGAUGAAGGCCUUAGGGUUGUAAAGCUCUUUUACACGGGAUGAUAAUGACAGUACCGGGAGAAUAAGCUCCGGCUAACUCCGUG